CUUUAAUACAAACUUUAUUUAAAUAAAAUACUUUAGUAGAAGUCAGAAUGACAGACAUGAGGUGACCAAAGUAACUGUGUUGGGAUUAUUUUCUGACCUACAGGAGACAUUUCUAUCUAUGAAAGAAUCAGAAGCUCUGAAAACUCUGCAAAUGGUCAACGAGAACUGGAUUAUGUUAACGUGACAUCUCAAACUCAGAGAUCUUGACCAGUGGUCUGUUUAAGGAGAGG